CUAUAAACUGCGUGCCUUGUCUUGACUUGGAGCAAAGUGGAGAAAGACCAACUAUAAAACAGUUUGAAGACUACAUGCCAUGGUUUCUUGAUGAUUUGCCGACAGUAUACUGUCAGAAAGGAGGAAAAGCAGCUUAUUCCGCUUCUGUUGAAAUGAUAGAAAAUAACACUGCAUACUGGGCUACCAACUUUAUGACGUAUCACACGGUACAUGUGACGUCACAGGAGCAAACGAAUGGUUUAGCUAAAGCACGAUACAUAGCCGACAACAUCACAUUGUCUUUGAAUGCCGAUGGC